GAUGAACGCUGGCGGCGUGCCUAAUACAUGCAAGUCGAGCGAAUGGAUUAAGAGCUUGCUCUUAUGAAGUUAGCGGCGGACGGGUGAGUAACACGUGGGUAACCUGCCCAUAAGACUGGGAUAACUCCGGGAAACCGGGGCUAAUACCGGAUAACAUUUUGAACCGCAUGGUUCGAAAUUGAAAGGCGGCUUCGGCUGUCACUUAUGGAUGGACCCGCGUCGCAUUAGCUAGUUGGUGAGGUAACGGCUCACCAAGGCAACGAUGCGUAGCCGACCUGAGAGGGUGAUCGGCCACACUGGGACUGAGACACGGGCCAGACUCCUACGGGAGGCAGCAGUAGGAAAUCUUCCGCAAUGGACGAAAGUCUGACGGAGCAACGCCGCGUGAGUGACGAAGGCUUUCGGGUCGUAAAACUCUGUUGUUAGGGAAGAACAAGUGCUAGUUGAAUAAGCUGACACCUUGACGGUACCUAACCAGAAAGCCACGGCUAACUACGUGCCAGCCGCCGCGGUAA
rnacentral:rRNA from 1 species